CAACCUACCUAUCAGAGGGGAAUAACCCGGCGAAAGUCGGACUAAUACCGCAUAAAACAGGGGCACCGCAUGGUGAUAUUUGUUAAAGAAAUUCGCUGAUAGAUGGGCAUGCGUUCCAUUAGGUAGUUGGUGAGGUAACGGCUCACCAAGCCGACGAUGGAUAGGGGAACUGAGAGGUUGGUCCCCCACACUGGUACUGAGACACGGACCAGACUCCUACGGGAGGCAGCAGUGAGGAAUAUUGGUCAAUGGGCGGGAGCCUGAACCAGCCAAGUCGCGUGAAGGAAGAAGGAUCUAUGGUUCGUAAACUUCUUUUGCAGGGGAAUAAAGUGCAGGACGUGUCCUGUUUUGUAUGUACCCUGAGAAUAAGGAUCGGCUAACUCCGUGCCAGCAGCCGCGGUAAUACGGAGGAUCCGAGCGUUAUCCGGAUUUAUUGGGUUUAAAGGGUGCGUAGGUGGUUUGAUAAGUCAGCGGUGAAAGUUUGCAGCUUAACUGUAAAAAUGCCGUUGAAACUGUCGGACUCGAGUGUAAAUGAGGUAGGCGGAAUGCGUGGUGUAGCGGUGAAAUGCAUAGAUAUCACGAAGAACUCCGAUUG
rnacentral:rRNA from 1 species